rnacentral:misc_RNA from 1 species
AACUUUUAACAAUGGAUCUCUUGGCUCUCGCAUCGAUGAAGAACGCAGCGAAAUGCGAUAAGUAAUGUGAAUAGCAGAAUUCAGUGAAUCAUCGAAUCUUUGAACGCACCUUGCGCCCUUUGGCUAUUCUGAAGGGCAUGCCUGUUUGAGUAUCAUGAACACCUCAACUCUCAUGGUCCGCCAUGAUGAGCAUGGACUUUGGGGGUCUUGCCGGCCUAGUGUCGGCUCCUCUCAAAUGGAUCAGCUUGCCAGUGUUUGGUGGCAUCACAGGUGUGAUAACUAUCUACGCUUGUGGUUUUCUGCCAUAUAACCUUCAGUGAUGGAGGUUCUCUGGAGCUCACAGAUGUCUCUCCUUGGGGAGGACAGCUUUUGAACGUUUGAUCUCAAAUCAGGUAGGACUACCCGCUGAACUUAAGCAUAUCAAUAAGCGGAGGCU